CCUACGGGAGGCAGCAGUGGGGAAUAUUGCACAAUGGGCGCAAGCCUGAUGCAGCGACGCCGCGUGAGGGAUGACGGCCUUCGGGUUGUAAACCUCUUUCAGCACAGACGAAGCGCAAGUGACGGUAUGUGCAGAAGAAGGACCGGCCAACUACGUGCCAGCAGCCGCGGUAAU
rnacentral:rRNA from 1 species